rnacentral:rRNA from 1 species
CAGCCGCCACGGGAAUACGAAGGGUGCAAGCGUUACUCGGAAUUACUGGGCGUAAAGCGUGCGUAGGUGGUGGUUUAAGUCCGUUGUGAAAGCCCUGGGCUCAACCUGGGAAUUGCAGUGGAUACUGGGUCACUAGAGUGUGGUAGAGGAUAGUGGAAUUUCCGGUGUAGCAGUGAAAUGCGUAGAGAUCGGGAGGAACAUCAGUGGCGAAGGCGGCCAUCUGGGACAACACUGACGCUGAGGCACGAAAGCGUGGGGAGCAAACAGGAUUAGAUACCCCCGUAGUCCCUGUCUCUUAUAC